UAUACAUCUCGCAAGUAGCAAGUUGUAAUUAUGGCGCGAGUUGGGUGAACAUAACGGCGAUCAGCCCUCGAGGUCUUCUGGACAAGCAGAGCAAUGAGGAAAAACUGGGCGAACCAGAGGCGAAUCACAAAAACUGACUCCGACGAGUGAAGUAAUCGGACCUUGGUUUCUCCGUCCAUCACCGGGAGCAGUCUACCUGCAUCAAAAUUUUAACGGAGAUCGUUCCAGAAAAAUCGAAGGCCUUAUAUUCUAUUAGACCCUUCUCAUUCUUCCUUUAUUCACAGUUGAAACUGAGGAUAAACUGGAACUUCUUUGAAACAGAACGACGGGGCUUUAAUUCAAUCCUCGCCGGUGUUAAGGCUCGUAAACGAAACCGGUUGCAUCCAGCAACGGAGAGAACGAACGGAAAGCUCGGACAGCGCUGGAUCUAUCCACGUUCCCAUGGAAAUGUUCUUUUUUUACGAAAACGGAAUUACUCGUGGGAAGUAGCUGCCGGGUUUGCAGCUAUGAAAAUAUCCGAUCCCCUAAUGUGUUACUUCGAUUAACGAAAGAUCUACGACACAGCUUUCAAUGACAACUUCUGACAGCUCGUAAUGCAAUUGGAACAUCCUGUUUGGCAAUUGCAACCGAUCUAGUUGUAUCGCGUUCCUCAAGUCGUGUUCCGCGUGUAAAACAGGUAGUGAUCGAAUUAU